GCCUGUGAAUCAGAAGACAGGAGUUGGUUUUGGGAGUUUGCAUAUGGAACUCUUGUUGUUGGCUGGUAUCUUCAGCACUAGAAGACCAAGGAUGUAUAAAACUGUUCCCAGUUGCACUGAAGGCAGGGGACAGCCUAACCUGUGAGGACUGUUUGGUUUGCUGAGGCUGAUGGUAUACCAUAACUGGGCAUGAAUUGCAUGGUCACUGACCAUGAAGCUGAUGGAAAGAAGAAAAGAGGAGAUGCAGAGUAACUUAGCCACUCUCCUAAGGAUUUUUCUAAAUGAACAUGUUUAACACCAAAAAGGAGAUACCUGCAAGGAUAUGAAAGCUGGAAAACUUGACUUUUCUUUUUUGGUGAUGACUUGUUUUAUCUGGUGCCUUUCAUUGGGGGAAUCCCAAAGUGCUUUAGAGACUGUCUUUUUAACAUUUCUUGUAGAUAUAUGUAUAAUUGUAAAAGAAUAUUCCUUUGCCCACCAAGACUUUUAGUCGCUUCUGAGCAUGAAAAGGUCCCAGGAGCAUUAAGUUCCCCCAAGCAGUAGUUUCAUAGACCUUGAGGGAGGGCCAUCCAGAUGGCUGGGCUCUGCAGUGAUCUCCAUAGACCAUAAAGAAUGGUGUAAAGGCCCUGGGAACCUUUCCCUUAUCACUGAACUACACGGAGGUAUGAAGUUCACAAGUCCUGGAUCAGACACAAAGCCUCUGACUAGUCAAGUCAGAUAAUGUCUCCCAUGGUAGUUUCUCCUCCAGGAGAGAGCAGAUUCAUUUUCUGCCGUGUUCUUGGGAGUAAAGGCUACCAAGAUGAAGUGGACUCAUAGAUGAUCAAGGUAGCCUGUACAAUCCUUUCUUGGGGAACACAGUAGAUGCAGGCUCAUUCAUACCCAGCUGGUAGCUAAAGAGCAACUCCACUCUUGGCAUUUGACCUGUUCAGUAUUACUGGGUCAAAUACAUGGGCCAAGCUUUGUCAUAGCAUGCAGGGUGGGCAUUUGGAACUGACACACGUUUAUGGCACAGAUACAUUAGUCUGGGGCUGUGUUUCCCAUCCAAGUUCUGCAUUUCCCAGGUUGGCUGCUGAGGAGGGGCGUGUAGAAUGCUGAGCCUAUGCCUAGCUCAUCAGGUAGUAAUUGAUGUUUAAUAUUUGGGUUUGUUAUUGCUACUUACUGUAGCUCUCAAAGCACUGAGCGACCUGUUAAUUCCUGCUUUGUUUCAAUGGAAAUGAUUUGUUCUGCACUUUGGGAUAUCGGCGGUAGAGACCACAGGCAGUGUGGUCUCUACUUGAAAGCUUAACUGGUAUUUCUUGUAUGUUUUAACAGCAUGACUUGUUCCAGGGUUGUAAUUUUAAACAUCGAGAAUACUGUAUUUGCGAUGUCAGUUUUAACACUCAUUAACACACUACUGUGCCAGCGUCCUGGCGGCUCCUGCGCCAUUACAUCGCUGCUGUGCUUGAGUUUCUUGUGCCUCGACUCCAGAAUGAGGCACAUGACUGACAUACUCAGGAUGCCAGCCUUGCAAAUAUGCAGAUUAAACAGAAGAUAAUU
rnacentral:lncRNA from 1 species